UUGUGAGAUGAUAAAUAAUGGAGCUCUCAGACUUGUGUCCCAUCAAUUUUGGACAGAGUUACGAAACAUUUUUAUUUAUUGUAUUGAAAUCGAGCAAAGCGUAAAUAUCGGGGUGGGACGAAAAAAAGGUGCUAUCAGACUGUUUCAGGAGUGGAUCCAUGAUAUGUGAAACAAUUCUCGUGGAAACCUGGCUGUUAAAUUUUCUUUUUAUUUGUGGUGUCACUUGGAUGGUUAAGACCACUUACGGUCCAUCUCGUCACCAAGAUUCCAGAGUAGGUGUUGCAGAUCUUCUUUUUGGUCGCAUAGGUCGCGAUUGUCGUUGGUUUCCCAAACCAACUUGUGCCACACUAAAAAAAUAUCACUUAAUUACCACAUGUAAAAACAUAAAUAAAAUAUUUUCCAUAA